rnacentral:tRNA from 1 species
UCCCUGUUGGCUCAGUGGUAAAGAAUCUGCCUGCAAUGCAGGAGACCUAGGUUCAAUCCCUGGGUGGGGAA